UUUUGUUUUUCACUUUUUUCUUCCAAGCAAGCAUUCAUUUUCAUUUUCUCUAUUUUUUUCUUUUCUUUUCACAUCGUAUUCACAAAACAGAUGUUUCUCUUUUCUAAUUUUUUUAUUUUUUUCAAUGCUUGCUCGGUUUUUCAAGAGUUGUGGCACUUACCGAUUUUCAUUUUCGUUCUCCCCAACUUAUCUUUUACUCAUCCUAAGUGAAUGCUCUUGACUUUUUACGGAAAAAGAACAAUUAUCAAAAUUUUCCGGGUUUCAAGAAAAAAGAUUUUUGACAUCUCGCUUUA
rnacentral:lncRNA from 1 species